rnacentral:misc_RNA from 1 species
AACUGAUACUACCUGCGGGAACCUGCGGAAGGAUCAUUACCGAGUUUACAACUCCCAAACCCAAUGUGAACGUUACCAAACUGUUGCCUCGGCGGGAUCUCUGCCCCGGGUGCGUCGCAGCCCCGGACCAAGGCGCCCGCCGGAGGACCAACCAAAAACUCUUUUUGUAUACCCCCUCGCGGGUUUUUUAUAUCUGAGCCUUUCUCGGCGCCCCUUCGUGGGCGUUUCGAAAAUGAAUCA